rnacentral:rRNA from 1 species
UACGUAGGGUGCGAGCGUUAAUCGGAAUUACUGGGCGUAAAGCGUGCGUAGGCGGUUCGUUGUGUCUGUGGUGAAAGCCCCGGGCUUAACCUGGGAAUGGCCAUGGAAACUGGCGAGCUGGAGUGUGGCAGAGGGGGGUGGAAGUUCGCGUGUAGCAGUGAAAUGCGUAGAGAUGCGGAGGAACACCGAUGGCGAAGGCAGCCCCCUGGGCUAACACUGACGCUGAGGCGCGAAAGCGUGGGGAGCGAACAGG